AGGGCGGGGGGGGUGUUGGCGGCCGGGCAGCGCGGCGAGAGCGGGCGCCCCCCAGCCGUGCCCGCGUCCCGGUGCUGCAUGGCGCUGCUCAGCCUGCCUUGCAGAGGGAGCUCGAGUCCCGCUCUGCGCCUCGCAGCGCCUCUCACUCCGCAGCACACGCCAGCGCAGCGAGGCGGCGGCCGGCAGGAGCGGGACACGCAGCCAUCGCCGCCGCUACCGCCCCGCGGUCAGGAGCCGGCCGGACACCGAGGGAAGCCACGGGCGGCGGGCGGAGGGCGCCGGGCCGAGCCCUGCUGAGGGUUGUGGCAGACCUGUAGCUGGUUGACAGGCAAGCUGAGAGGAGGGGAGAAUUCUAUGAGCUCAUGCUGCAUCCUCUCUGUAUUUUCUUACCAUAAAAGCACGUGAAAUGGAGCUAGAGUAAUGGGUUAAAAUAUUAACAGUUCAAAAAUAAAAUGCAUUGGAAGGAA